ACGAACGCUGGCGGCAUGCCUAACCCCUGCCAGUCGAACGAGACCUUCGGGUCUAGUGGCGCACGGGUGCGUAACGCGUGGGAACCUGCCCUUAGGUUCGGAAUAACUCCCCGAAAGGGGUGCUAAUACCGGAUAAUGUCUUCGGACCAAAGAUUUAUCGCCUUUGGAUGGGCCCGCGUUGGAUUAGCUAGUUGGUAGGGUAAAAGCCUACCAAGGCGACGAUCCAUAGCUGGUCUGAGAGGAUGAGCAGCCACACUGGGACUGAGACACGGCCCAGACUCCUACGGGAGGCAGCAGUGGGGAAUAUUGGACAAUGGGCGAAAGCCUGAUCCAGCAAUGCCGCGUGAGUGAUGAAGGCCUUAGGGUUGUAAAGCUCUUUUACCCGGGAUGAUAAUGACAGUACCGGGAGAAUAAGCUCCGGCUAACUCCGUG
rnacentral:rRNA from 1 species